rnacentral:misc_RNA from 1 species
ACAAACUUGGUCAUUUAGAGGAAGUAAAAGUCGUAACAAGGUCUCCGUUGGUGAACCAGCGGAGGGAUCAUUAGAGAGUAUAACAACUCCCAACCCAUGUGAACAUACCUCGCGUUGCCUCGGCGGAGAGAGGACCUACCCAUCAAGGGCUACCCGGGCGUAAAAACCCGGGAGGUCCGGGUAACCUCCCGCCGCCGCUGGCCCACGAAACUCUGUUUUUAUCUUGCAACUCUGAAUCUAAAAGCAAAUAAGUUAAAACUUUCAACAACGGAUCUCUUGGUUCUGGCAUCGAUGAAGAACGCAGC